rnacentral:rRNA from 1 species
GACGAACGCUGGCGGCGUGCUUAACACAUGCAAGUCGAGCGAUGACUUCGUUGUCAACGGCUUAGGGGUGAAGAACACGUGGAAUCGUGGCGUACGGGUGAGUAUAACGCGAGUAAACUGCCUCUAACACCGGGAUCGCCCUGGGGAACAAAGAUUUACUGCGGAAGGAUCGGCCCGCGUCCAUGUAGCUAGUUGGUAGGGUAAUGGCCUACCAAGGCGACGAUCAGUAGCUGGUCUGAGAGGAUGAUCAGCCACAUUGGAACUGAGAAACGGCCCAGACUCCUACGGGAGGCAGCAGUGGGGAAUAUUGCACAAUGGGGGCAAGCCUGAUGCAGCCACGCCGCGUGAGCGAUGAAGGCUUUCGAGUCGUAAAGCUCUUUUGUAUGGGAAGAUAAUGACGGUACCAGAAGAAAAAGCCCCGGCUAACUACGUG